UACGUAGGAGGCGAGCGUUGUCCGGAGUUACUGGGCGUAAAGCGCACGCAGGCGGUUCGCCAAGUUUGGAGUGACAGUUGUCGGCUCAACCGACAAAGGACUUCAAAAACUGGUGAACUUGAGGACGAGAGAGGAACAUGGAACUCCAGGUGUAGUAGUGAAAUGCGUAGAUAUCUGGAAGAACACCAAUGGCGAAGGCAAUGUUCUGGCUCGUUUCUGACGCUCAGGUGCGAAAGCCAGGGGAGCGAACGGG
rnacentral:rRNA from 1 species